rnacentral:pre_miRNA from 1 species
GGGGGGUGUGCAGCACAGGAUCCUGGGCUGUGUCCCCCAGCACCCUGGGCUCCAGGGCCUGCGCUGCUGGAGUCGUGCUCCCAGGGCUGAGCAGCCCCCU